GGAACUCCCAAAUCAGCCUUUUCAAUCAUUGGAAAUUACCAGCAGCAGAAUUUUCAUAUACUAUAUGAUACAAAGAGGUCCAGGCUCGGGUAUGCACCUACAAAGUGUGCAGAUAUAUAACCUUUCUUGUCAAUUAUACAUAUUUUAAGUCCAUCAAAGCAACUGUACACACAAUAAGAACAGAUUCAUUUUUUUUUCCCUUUAGAUUUUUUCAUUCUUUAGGAUAUUCCUUUAAACAUGUAUUGAACUAAGAUCAUACCAAACUAAUGUACUUAUUCAAACUUCAUUUCUAAAUACAAAGUUGAGUUAAUUUUGCUUGCUAACUGCAUUUUCUCAAACUCUAUAGUUUAACAUCAAUGACAAUUGAAUUUGUAAUCUCUGCAAUUGCCAAAGUUUGAUAGUAAUCCCUGAAUAGUUUGUCAAGUUAAAAGGCAAGGGAAUUGUCAAAUCAUCGCCUUUAUUGAUCCAAUGUGAAAGAAAUCCAAAAGUCUAGAGGAAUUGGAAACUAAGGAAGCUUAAGGAUAAGGCAGAACACAAACCGUACAAAAGAAAUCGGAUUAUGUACCUGAGAAAGGUCGGAGUCUCGGAGAAGAGAGUUGCAGAAAGAGGUGUCUCUGUUUUACAUCGACGCGAAGAAGAAGAAGAAGGGUUUGAUAAUUGGGUGAAGACGGAAAGAAAACUCAAUGCCAUUGAUUUUCACAGCAAAUCAAGCUUAACAUA
rnacentral:lncRNA from 1 species